rnacentral:miRNA from 1 species
CAUUCCACUUCGAUUCCUCUUG